UACGUAGGCAGCGAGCGUUGUUCGGAGUUACUGGGCGUAAAGGGUGUGUAGGCGGUUCUUUAAGUUUGGUGUGAAAUCUCCCGGCUCAACCGGGAGGGUGCGCCGAAUACUGAGGGACUAGAGUACGGGAGAGGAAAGUGGAAUUCCUGGUGUAGCGGUGAAAUGCGCAGAUAUCAGGAAGAACACCAAUGGCGAAAGCAGCUUUCUGGGACGGUACUGACGCUGAGACGCGAAAGCGUGGGGAGCGAACAGG
rnacentral:rRNA from 1 species